rnacentral:rRNA from 2 species
UGAGGAAUAUUGGGCAAUGCCCGCAAGGGUGACCCAGCAACGCCGCGUGAAGGAUGAAGGCCGUAAGGUUGUAAACUUCUGUUAGAGGGGACGAAUGGUUCUGGUAGCACCAGAAUUUGACUGUACCCUCAGAGAAAGCCCCGGCUAACUACGUGCCAGCAGCCGCGGUAAUACGUAGGGGGCAAGCGUUGUCCGGAUUUACUGGGUGUAAAGGGCGCGCAGGCGGAUUGACAAGUCAGAGGUGAAAUCCUGCAGCUUAACUGCAGAACUGCCUUUGAAACUGUCAAUCUUGAGUACGGAAGAGAGAGACGGAAUUCCAGGUGUAGUGGUGAAAUACGUAGAUAUCUGGAAGAACACCAGUUGCGAAGGCGGUCUCUUGGUCCGUUACUGACGCUCAGGCGCGAAAGCGUGGGUAGCAAACAGG